rnacentral:lncRNA from 1 species
UGUAACUGAAAUCAAAGAAGAUGAUUAAAACAUCAGUGCCAAGGACAUAAGAAGACAGCACAGAAGAUAUCUUCAAGAAGACAGCGUGGAAGAUGUAGCUUUGGUAAUUUAAAGAAAGUGGAAGACACAGAAACAGUUACGCGGUAAGUGCUGGUGUGAGGUAAUCAGGUAUGUAGAGCCACUACUGAGAAGCAGUAAGAGCCCGUGGGAGACCAGGAGCACGGAUGUACAUUGUAUUUCUAUAAGACUUUGCUAUAGUAGUGAGAGUAGGGCUUCAAAUUUUAACGA